rnacentral:lncRNA from 1 species
AGAUUCUCAUAGGAGUGCAAACCCUAUUGUGAAUCGUGCAUGUGGGGGAUCUAUGUUGUGCACUCCAUAUGAGAAUCUAAUGCCUGCUCACCCCCAGUCCAAGUCCAUGGAAAAAUUGUCUUCCACCAAACAGGUCCCUGGUGCCAAAAAGUUUGGGGACCACUGGUCUAGUGGAUCAUUUCCUUGUACCACUCUGUCCUGUUAGAGGGGGAUUUAUCACAUCAGUUCUGCUUACCUAUCCUGGGAGGGUCCAGAAGACAUAUCUUUCAUACCACUGUGAGAAAUAAAUGUGUGAAGGGAGCCCCAGCACCCUUGGAGAGUCUGUGGUCACUCUUCUCUUUAAAUCAGAAAUUAUAGUGGGAGCUGCUGCCACUGAAUUGGAAACAUAAAUGCAAUGGGGAUCAUUGGAUCCCAGAGUGGCACGGGCCAUGUGGGUGAACUCUUUCAAGUACUUCAUGUUUAUUAUCUGAUUUAAUCUUGUUUCAAAGCUCUGAGAUAGUUGCCAUCACUAUUCAUUUUUGAAAUUACUCUUGAACAGUGAAGAUGUAUGCAGGCUGGGUAGGCUAACACACAACUGACAAAUGUCCACUUCUGGUCUUCCCAACAUGUUACUGCAUGUUACUGGAAUAUGCAGGUCAAUUUCUUUUCACAGUCCCAGAUGUGGAUAUUUCCUAUUCCUCAGUUACUGUUGCUGUUUUCUGUCUUGACAUCACUCCUCACAUAGCCAUGCGUGUGUCCUUGCCCCAACUCCAACUCGUGUAAGUUCCCCCACUCUUGCUGUUGCUCCUGGAGCCAUCUUAAGAUGGAAAAAAGCUCCUUUUCCAGGGAAUUAUGUGUUUGUUCAGUCAACCCUAAAUGGUCAGGAUUGAAGACUCUGGUUCAGGAAUUAGAAGGACAUUUGAGUAAUCACCCUCAAAUUCAGAAGUUUAAUGAAUUCAGUUUAGUUCAAGAAAUAAUUAUUGAGUACCUACUAAGUACAAGCACUUUGCUAGUAUCUGGGGCUAUAGAGAAGAAUAUAUAUCAUUCCUGGUGUCAGGGACUUCAGAGUUGAGUUAAAAACAUCCAAAUAUACACUAUAAUUUUAUACUUUACUUAGAACUGUUAUUGUUUCUCCAAUUCCUAUUGGUUAAAAGGAUCUUACCAUAAAGCAAAUACAUUCUGGAUGAAAGUAGUAGUACAUAUUAAUGAGUACUUACUGUAUGCCAGACAGU